rnacentral:misc_RNA from 1 species
UCCGGCUUAACGCCGGCAGUCCCCCCAGAGUCCCCGGCCGAACCGCUGGCAACUGGGAGCGAGGGUUUCGCUCGUUGAGGGACUUAACCCGACAUCUCACGACACGAGCUGACGACAGCCAUGCAGCACCUGUGCAUGCUCCCCUUGCGGGGUCGUUACCCUUUCAGGCUUCUACUACAUGCAUGUCAAGGCCAGGUAAGGUUCUUCGCGUUGCAUCGAAUUGAGCCACAUACUCCACCGCUUGUGCAGGCCCCCGUCAAUUUCUUUGAGUUUUAAUCUUGCGACCGUACUCCCCAGGCGGAUGACUUCUCGCGUUAGCUGCGUUACUAAAGGAUUUAACUCCUCCAACAACUAGUCAUCAUCGUUUAGGGCGUGGACUAC